UCACAACAUGUUUUUGAGUGAGUUGAAUUCGAAGUGUCACAUUUUCUUUCUUUAACAGUGCAAAUGCAAAUCUCGUGCAUUAUUCAUAUCAUUACGGAGAAUUCCAACUAUGUUUACUACUGCUUUAAAGGAGCACUAGCUACGAUAUAUAUACAAAAAUAAAGUAUGAUUUUUUUUAGAUUAAUCAAUAAUUGAAUUGGAAUAAUGAAAUAAUAAUUUGCUUUUAGCAAUCAAUUUGCUUUAUUUUUGUUGAAAUAAGCGAUUAUACAUAAUUUUUGACUGAUUCACUUGCAAGUGAAAACGUCAUCAUCAUUCUAACCGGUAUUCAUGUGAACUUCAAUUUAACCCCUAGCUAGAGACUGACAACGCAUGCAUUGUACGUGAACUGGUUAUUUAAAGAAACAAAAUGUCAACAAUGAAAGUGAAACUACGGUAAAUCAUUUGAUUACUAAUUAGAUCCACAUAAAUUAUUCUUAUACGGUUAAAAACAAUAAGAAACUUAUAUUUUUAAUCUAUAAAUUCAAAUCAAACAGACCUAUAAAAAUCCAAUUGCACGUGCUGGUUUAACCUAUUCAUAUCUUUAUUUGUGUUUACAUCGCUUAUAUGGUCAUCUGAGGUCAAAUCGAUAGUUAAUUAGAUGGCAUCUGGAUUUAAAUACACACGAAACGAACCUACAUAUCAUCUACCCCAUGCUUUGUAAACUGUUUAUUUUAAACGUUUGAUAGAUUGGAUAAAUGUUUUACAUUGUAAUUAAUCAAUUAUGAGAAUUUGAGUCAAAUUGGUGACCAUGAAUUUGACAGCUAGUGCCCCUUUAAAAAUAAUACGCGUGAAAAUGAACAAAAGACGAAAUUCGAAUGUAUCCCAAAGUUAGGACCAUCCUAAGACCAUCUUAAGACACCUAAAUUGGUAUCCUAAAGUUAGGACAAUUCCUAGGAUUUUCCUAAGUUGCGACAUGUUUGAUAAACCCAUUUAGGACUAAGAUGUGUCCUAAGUUGGUCUUAGGACACGUCCUAAUCCUACGAGAGCUUCGACAAACAGACCC
rnacentral:lncRNA from 1 species